rnacentral:rRNA from 1 species
GACGAACGCUGGCGGCGUGCCUAAUACAUGCAAGUCGAACGCUGAAGGAGGGCCUUGGUCUUCUGGUUGAGUUGCGAACGGGUGAGUAACGCGUAGGUAACCUGCCUGGUAGUGUGGGAUAACUUUUGGAAACGAUAGCUAAUACCGCAUAACAGUAGAUGUUGCAUGACAUUUACUUAAAAGGUGCAAUUGCAUCACUACCACAUGGGCCUGCGGUGGAUUAGCUAGUUGGAGGGGUAUCGGCUCACCAAGGCGACGAUACAUCGCCGACCGGAGAGGGUGAUCGGCCGCACAGGGACGGAGACACGGCCCAGACUCCUACGGGAGGCAGCAGGAGGGAAUCGUCGGCAAUGGACGGAAGUCUGACCGAGCAACGCCGCGGGAGUGAAGAAGGUUGUCGGAUCGUAAAGCUCUGUUGUAAGAGAAGAACGAGUGUGAGAGUGGAAAGUUCACACUGUGACGGUAUCUUACCAGAAAGGGACGGCUAACUACGUG